rnacentral:rRNA from 1 species
GACGAACGCUGGCGGCGUGCUUAACACAUGCAAGUCGAACGGAAAGGCCCUGCUUUUGUGGGGUGCUCGAGUGGCGAACGGGUGAGUAACACGUGAGUAACCUGCCCUUGACUUUGGGAUAACUUCAGGAAACUGGGGCUAAUACCGGAUAGGAGCUCCUGCUGCAUGGUGGGGGUUGGAAAGUUUCGGCGGUUGGGGAUGGACUCGCGGCUUAUCAGCUUGUUGGUGGGGUAGUGGCUUACCAAGGCUUUGACGGGUAGCCGGCCUGAGAGGGUGACCGGCCACAUUGGGACUGAGAGACGGCCCAGACUCCUACGGGAGGCAGCAGUGGGGAAUACUGCACAAUGGGCGGAAGCCUGAUGCAGCAACGCCGCGUGCGGGAUGACGGCCUUCGGGUUGUAAACCGCUUUCGCCUGUGACGAAGCGUGAGUGACGGUAAUGGGUAAAGAAGCACCGGCUAACUACGUG